rnacentral:lncRNA from 1 species
UCCUUGUAUCACCUUCUGCCCUGUUCACUCCUGCUGCACCUGGUUUGUCUAGGAAUGGGACAGAGGAUGGGAGAGAAGGAAAAUAAGGGUCAAAGAAGUUAUCAGCCGGGCGCAGUGGCUCACGCCUGUAAUCCCAGCACUCUGGGAGGCCCAGGUGGGUGGAUCACACAGUCACGAGACCGACACCAUCCUGGUGAUGGUGAAACCCCUUCUCUACUGAAAAUACAAAAAUUACCCGGGCAUGGUGACACGUACCUGUAGUCCCAGCUACUCAGGAGGCUGAGGCAGGAGAAUCGCUUGAACACGGGAGGCGGAGGUUGCAGUGAGCCGAGAUCACACCACUACACUCCAGCCUGGGCAAUAGAGAAAGACUCCAUCUCAAAAAAAAAAAAAGUUAUCAUGAGUGGUAUGGUUGCAGUCUGCCACUGGUGCCCUCUGUAGGGGUUUUGGACGCCCUGCCCUCUGGCUUUGGGGACCUCUCCGCAUGAUGUCCUUGUGCAGGGAAGUACUUUCAGGCAACUGCCUCACCCCUCCUUCCAGAGCUCACAUCCAGUGGCACAAUGCAUGCAACUUCAUUUUGUUGGGGUCCUUCUUGCAUGGGCCCCUUUCCAAAUGGCUUCAAUCCCACCACCCUCUUAAGGCACGGAAAAAUUCAACUGGAAUCUGGAAGGUCCCCUCCCCCCGCCCUCCCUAUUCUUACCAGACAGGCAGCUCUAUUUACUUCCAGCCUUUAGAUGCUUUUAGGCAAGGGUCGGUCCCUGCCCCUAUGCCACGCAAAUUCUGGAGGACACAGUGAUCUCUCAGCACAGCUCUGUCACCUCAUUCUAUCCCGUGUCCUGGAGUCCACAGGUUCCUUUCCCUCAGCUGGAAGAGAGUGGUGAGCACCCCCUCCCCUCUCCUGAUUAACAUCCUGUUGCAUUACUAAUAGGCACAUUGUCUAAGAAGCCAUUUUAUUAGCCCAUCUUUCAACGGAGUCGGGCUGAGCUUACAGUCUCACGAACUCAGGAAGAACAUUAGGAAGCUGCAAGCCUCUCAGAAACGUGUCCUCAUAACUGCUCUGACACGUCCAGGAGCGUCUCUCCAGCCAGGAUCCGUGGAAUGAGUACAGCAGGCUGGGGGAGAUAGAUGAAGCUGGUCUCCUCCUCCUGACAGGUUGUGCUCCGUGUCUACAAGCAGAGACGGUCCUGGGCUCUGGCAUGUGAGGAUAGAGAGCCCAAUGUCAGCAGCAAGACAUGCUGGAAACUCUGUGAGGCUUCAUCUGCCACAGCACACCUGGUGGUCCUCACAGAGGGACGAGGCCUAUGCUUUCCUCCUUACAUCAGCAGGGGUUACGUGUACUGCCUUAUUUAAUCUUUGCAGCAACACCCUGAAGUGGUGUGGCAGACAGAAUAAUGGCCCCCAAAGAUGUUCACAUCCUAAUCUCCAGAACCUUGAAGAUGGAGGAGGCCAUAAGGCAGGACACAAGGAAAGAUGGAGAAGCCAAGGAAACGGCUUCUCUUCUGGAGUCUUCAUAAAGGAAAUCAGCCCUGCCAACACCUCGAUUUUAGCCUGGUGAGACCCGUUGAGGACUUCUGACCUCUAGAACUGUAAGAUAAUUUGUUUUGUUUUGUUAGCCACUACAUUUGUGAUAAUUUGUUGCAACAGCAAUAGGAAACUGAUACAAAUGGGCACUGUUUUAUCCAGUUUCAGAUGAGAAAGCUGAGGCUCAGAGAGAUUAAGUAACUUCCCUAAGGUCACACAGCUAGGAAGGGCAGUGCAAGAAU